CCUACGGGAGGCAGCAGUGGGGAAUAUUGGACAAUGGGGGCAACCCUGAUCCAGCCAUGCCGCGUGUGUGAAGAAGGCCCUCGGGUUGUAAAGCACUUUCAGCGAGGAAGAACGCCUAGCGGUUAAUACCCGCUAGGAAAGACAUCACUCGCAGAAGAAGCACCGGCUAACUCCGUGCCAGCAGCCGCGGUAAUACGGAGGGUGCAAGCGUUAAUCGGAAUUACUGGGCGUAAAGCGCGCGUAGGUGGCUUGAUAAGCCGGUUGUGAAAGCCCCGGGCUCAACCUGGGAACGGCAUCCGGAACUGUCAAGCUAGAGUGCAGGAGAGGAAGGUAGAAUUCCCGGUGUAGCGGUGAAAUGCGUAGAGAUCGGGAGGAAUACCAGUGGCGAAGGCGGCCUUCUGGACUGACACUGACACUGAGGUGCGAAAGCGUGGGCAGCAAACAGGAUUAGAUACCCUGGUAGUCCACGCCGUAAACGAUGUCGACCAGCCGUUGGGUGCCUAGCGCACUUUGUGGCGAAGUUAACGCGAUAAGUCGACCGCCUGGGGAGUACGGCCGCAAGGUUAAAACUCAAAUGAAUUGACGGA
rnacentral:rRNA from 1 species